rfam:Otolemur garnettii contig133603, whole genome shotgun sequence.
ACCAGGCAUGGUGGUGCGUGCCUGUUGUCCCAGCUACUCUCGGGAGGCUGAGACUGGAGGAUCAGUUGAGUCCAGGCGUUCUGGUCUAUAGUGCGCUGUGCCAAUCAGGUGUCCACACUUGGCAUCAGUAUGGUGACCUCCUGGGAGCAGGGGCCAUCAGGUUGCCUAAGGGGGGGUUAACUAGCCCAGGUUGGAAAUGGAGCAGGUCAAAACUUCCAAGCUGGUCAGUAGUGAGAGCUUGCCAGUGAAUUGCCACUGCACUGCAGCCUGGGCAACACAGCAAGACCCCUGUCUCUU